rnacentral:misc_RNA from 1 species
UGCACUUAUAGAGAAAUUACACGAGGAGAAUGAGAAGUUGUUUGACAGACUUACGGAAAAGGCUGCAUUAAGUGGUUCAUCCCAGGUUCCUAGUCCUUCUGCCAUAAAAUCUGCUAAUCCUCAGGCACGUGACUUGAGCAGGAAUGGAAGUAAGAAAGGCCAAGCUCUUGAUAUUUCUCCUUUGCCAGCUGUUCAAGACAAAGUUGAAAACACAGCUCUUGUGAAAUUGGG